rnacentral:tRNA from 1 species
GGGACUGUAGUUCAGCCCGGGAGAACACACCGCUGAAGACGGUGAUGUCGGGAGUUCAAAUCUCCCCAGUCCCA